rnacentral:rRNA from 3 species
UUGACCUCAAAUCAGGUAGGAUUACCCGCUGAACUUAAGCAUAUCAAUAAGCGG